rnacentral:rRNA from 1 species
UACGAAGGGGGCUAGCGUUGCUCGGAAUCACUGGGCGUAAAGCGCACGUAGGCGGAUUGUUAAGUCAGGGGUGAAAUCCUGGAGCUCAACUCCAGAACUGCCUUUGAUACUGGCGAUCUCGAGUCCGGGAGAGGUGAGUGGAACUGCGAGUGUAGAGGUGAAAUUCGUAGAUAUUCGCAAGAACACCAGUGGCGAAGGCGACUUACUGGCCCGGUACUGACGCUGAGGUGCGAAAGCGUGGGGAGCAAACAGG